rnacentral:snoRNA from 1 species
UGUUUUAGCAGAACAUCCUUUCACCUGUGUCUACUUCAUUGAAAUGUUCCUUCACUAGUGAACCAGAGUAUUCUAGAAAACCUGCCAGAGUGAGGCCAUUUUAUUUUAGGCUUGUGCCCACAGCACUUCUGAACAUGC